rnacentral:rRNA from 1 species
UACGUAGGGUGCGAGCGUUAAUCGGAAUUACUGGGCGUAAAGCGUGCGCAGGCGGUUUUGUAAGUCAGAUGUGAAAUCCCCGGGCUUAGCCUGGGAAUGGCAUUUGGGACUGCAAGGCUUGAGUGCGGCAGAGGAGACUGGAAUUCCUGGUGUAGCAGUGAAAUGCGUAGAUAUCAGGAGGAAUACCGAUGGCGAAGGCAGGUCUCUGGGCUGACACUGACGCUCAUGCACGAAAGCGUGGGGAGCAAACAGG